AUUGAACGCUGGCGGCAGGCCUAACACAUGCAAGUCGAACGAGUGGCGGACGGGUGAGUAAUGUCUGGGAACCUGCCCGAUGGAGGGGGAUAACUACUGGAAAUGGUAGCUAAUACCGCAUACCAUCGGAUGUGCCCAGAUGGGAUUAGCGAGUAGGUGGGGUAAAGGCUAACCUGGGCGACGAUCCCUAGCUGGUCUGGGCGGAUGACCAGCCACACUGGAACGGAGACACGGUCCAGACUCCGACGGGCGGCAGCAGUGGGGAAUAUUGCACAAUGGGCGCAAGCCUGAUGCAGCCAUGCCGCGUGUAUGAAGAAGGCCUUCGGGUUGUAAAGUACUUUCAGCGGGGAGGCGUUACCCGCAGAAGAAGCACCGGCUAACUCCGUGCCAGCCGCCGCGGUAAUAC
rnacentral:rRNA from 1 species